rnacentral:rRNA from 1 species
UACGGGGGGGGCAAGCGUUGUUCGGAAUUACUGGGCGUAAAGGGCUCGUAGGCGGCCAACUAAGUCGGAUGUGAAAUCCCCAGGCUUAACCUGGGAACUGCAUCCGAUACUGGAUGGCUUGAAUCCGGGAGAGGGAUGCGGAAUUCCAGGUGUAGCGGUGAAAUGCGUAGAUAUCUGGAGGAACACCGGUGGCGAAGGCGGCAUCCUGGACCGACACUGACGCUGAGGCGCGAAAGCUAGGGGAGCAAACAGG